CCUACGGGUGACAGCAGUGGGGAAUAUUGCACAAUGGGGGAAACCCUGAUGCAGCGACGCCGCGUGAGUGAAGAAGGAAUUCGUGACGUAAAGCUCUAGCAGCAGGGAAGAAAAUGACGGUACCUGAGUAAGAAGCCCCGGCUAACGACGGGCCAGCAGCCGCGGUAAGACGUAGGGGGCAAGCGUUAUCCGGAUUUACUGGGGGGAAAGGGAGCGUAGACGGUGCGCCAAGUCUGGAGUGAAAUGCCGCAGCUGAACUGCGGAACUGCUUUGGAAACUGGCGAACUAGAGUGCGGGAGGGGUAAGCGGACUUCCUAGUGUAGCGGUGACAUGCUUAGCUCUUAGGAGGCACACCGGUGGCGCAGGCGGCUUACUGGACCGUACCUGACGUUGAGGCUCGAACGCGUGGGGAGCAACCAGGAUUAGAUACCCUUGUAGUC
rnacentral:rRNA from 1 species